rnacentral:other from 1 species
CGGUAGCUGCCGAGUUCGUUAGGAGACGAUUUCCCAGGGACCUUAAUUCUCAUAGGGAGCUGUCCCUGCUUAGGGCCGUGGUCUUAGGCACACGGCGCCCACCUGGUUAGCCAGGUUCUAUUGGGGCUUCCAACUCCGACGGUUCACGUGGCGCCGC